UAUUGUCUUUAAGAGCUGCGAGAGUCUGAAGCUUGUUGACAUAAGGCCGCGACUUCAAAAAGCCCCACAAAAAUAAGUCUGGAGCGGUCAAAUCAGUCGAUCUUGCUGGCCAGUGCAAAUCGCCAAAACGGGAGAUUAGGCGCUCGGGAAAUGCAUCCUUCAGCAUAUCGGAUGUGACACGCAGUGUAGCGUACCAUUAUUUAUUUAUGUGUAUUUCGCAUGUAUUUACUACACAAAUGUCUAUGUAAUCAGAACCGGCAUUAGAGGUCAAUUGCAAAAUUUAUAGCAUCUUCUGAUCAACUUCUGACUUUUGCGCCCCCCUGUAUUAUAUAAGGGUGUUGUAAGUGUUUCUGCAAAUUUAGUUCGGAAUUGAACUGGAACAUUAAACAGAAUUUUGGACGUCACAUAUCAUGAUGCGUGUCGCGAAUUAAAUUUUCAUUUGUUCUUUUUGUAUUAUCAAUUAUUCACCAUAUAUGUAUGUACAUAUCAUAUUUACGAAAUGUUUUAUAUCUCAAGCUUCUUUCCUUUGUGACAAAUAUAAAUAUAUAACAAGCCGCUAAUAAAUAUUAAAAAUAUUUGCAUUCUGAUUUCGAAAA